rnacentral:tRNA from 1 species
UGGUAUGUAGCUUAAUAGGUUGAGUAUAGCCUUGAUAGGGCCGGGGAUAUUGGUUCAAUUCCAAUCUUACCAA